rnacentral:rRNA from 1 species
UACGAAGGGGGCUAGCGUUGCUCGGAAUUACUGGGUUUAAAGGGUGCGCAGGCGGUUGUUUAAGUCAGAGGUGAAAGCCCUAUGCUCAACAUAGGGAUUGCCUUUGAUACUGAACAGCUAGAGUGAAGAUGGAGUGGGUGGAAUGUGUUGUGUAGCGGUGAAAUGCAUAGAUAUAACACAGAACACCGAAUCGCGAAGGCAGCUCACUAAUCUUCAACUGACGCUCAUGCACG